GUGGGACCACAAUCAUUUGUGCACUGACAGACUUGGUGGCUAACCCGAGACACUGACAAGACCUCACCUUAAGGAUGUCCUCCAUGCUUAGUGCUGAUUGCCAACUGGAUGGGCAUCUAGAAUCAUCUAGGAUGUCACCUCUUGCCAUGUCCCAGAGGGAGUUUCUAGGUCGUGAUAAGAAUUAUCAGAGAUAAAGAAAGGUUGCUGAACACACAUAGUCUCCUGACAACUGGCCACAUGUCAUCUUCCCAGCUUUGCAAGGAAGGGGCCAUUUUUCUUGCAGGAAAACGUGGCCCUCCCCAACGUUAUAGAUAUUCUCCUGUGAUUUCUUCUAGAAGCUUCGUUGUUUCCCACAGCCAACGUCAUACUCACUGUGCCAUCCAGCAUGUGCAAUCGUUCUGCGUCUAUGUAGACUUCACCCAACGCCCAUACCGCUCAGCUUGCCUUUGCAUGUUAUGGUGGCUCAUGUGACCUUUGCAUGACAUGGUCAGAUCAUAUGACCUAUUGUCUAUUUGUUGCUCACCUUGGCUCCCACAUUCACUUUCACGUUCAAAGUUGCUCCAUGUACACGCACCACUGCGACUGACAUUAUGCAUGGACAUCUGGGUUGUUCCCAGUGUCCCUUAACAUCACAGCUUCUCAGAACAUCGGCACAAACUCCUCCUUGUAAGAACAUAGUUGGGGUGUGUACCCCACAGAUGGAGGCUGGCUUGGGAGCACCUCUAAGCAAUGCUUAGAGGAGGCACCUUGGGGGGUUGCUGAGGAGUGGGAUUAGAGAAGGGGGUGUGUGGGUGGCCAAUUGUGGUGUGGGUAGGCCCUGGCUCUAGGCCCAAACCUGCUUCAAGCCAGAGCAGACUCAGUUUUGGGCUUUAAGGCUAUGUUUAAGGCCCUCACUUUCAAGGCACAUGAAGCCAGCCAUGCCUGUGGAGCCCUGAUGUUGGGAGUCAUCCAUGAUUGCUCUUGCACCUCAUUCAGGGACUCUCAAUCAAACUCAGAGCUCACCCAUAUGCGUAGACUCUGUUGCUAGUUUGCUCUGGGACUCCUCUCUGCCUUCCGAGGCUGGAAUGACAGGCUGGCCACCAUCCUACCUGGCAUUUAUGGAGACUUGGACACAGGCCUUUGACUCUAGCACUGUGCCUGCUCUGCUACUCUGUGCCUUAAGAACUCUGCCUUCCUGCAGAUGGUGAUUAAUAACUAACUUGUGCCUUGCCCUCUGCGGUGGCCCCUCCCAGGAGGCUGAGGCUGCUUUCUUAUCUAAAUAAACUCUGCAC